UACGUAGGGUGCAAGCGUUGUCCGGAAUUAUUGGGCGUAAAGAGCUCGUAGGCGGCUUGUUGCGUCGGCUGUGAAAACCCGUGGCUUAACUGCGGGCUUGCAGCCGAUACGGGCGGGCUAGGGUUCGGUAGGGGAGACUGGAAUUCCUGGUGUAGCGGUGAAAUGCGCAGAUAUCAGGAGGAACACCGGUGGCGAAGGCGGGUCUCUGGGCAGUAACUGACGCUGAGGAGCGAAAGCGUGGGGAGCGAACAGG
rnacentral:rRNA from 1 species